rnacentral:rRNA from 1 species
UACGGAGGGAGCUAGCGUUGUUCGGAAUUACUGGGCGUAAAGCGCACGUAGGCGGCUUUGUAAGUUAGAGGUGAAAGCCUGGUGCUCAACAUCAGAACUGCCUUUAAAACUGCAUCGCUUGAAUCCAGGAGAGGUGAGUGGAAUUCCAGGUGUAGCGGUGAAAUGCGCAGAUAUCAGGAAGAACACCAAUGGCGAAAGCAGCUUUCUGGGACGGUACUGACGCUGAGACGCGAAAGCGUGGGGAGCGAACAGG